rnacentral:rRNA from 1 species
GACGAACGCUGGCGGCGUGCUUAACACAUGCAAGUCGAACGGAAAGGCCCCUUUGGGGGUACUCGAGUGGCGAACGGGUGAGUAACACGUGAGUAACCUGCCCUUGACUUCGGGAUAACUUCAGGAAACUGGGGCUAAUACCGGAUAGGAAUCCUUGCUGCAUGGUGGGGGUUGGAAAGCUUCGGCGGUUUUGGAUGGACUCACGGCUUAUCAGCUUGUUGGUGGGGUAGUGGCUUACCAAGGCUUUGACGGGUAGCCGGCCUGAGAGGGCGACCGGCCACAUUGGGACUGAGAUACGGCCCAGACUCCUACGGGAGGCAGCAGUGGGGAAUAUUGCACAAUGGGCGGAAGCCUGAUGCAGCAACGCCGCGUGCGGGAUGACGGCCUUCGGGUUGGAAACCGCUUUCAGCAGGGGCGAAGCUUGUGGUGACGGUACCUGCAGAAGAAGCACCGGCUAACUACGUG